UAUGAGCAUGACGGGUGUUCGAUGAUUGCUUCGGCAUGAUUCGUUCUGAGAAAUUACCGUUGAACUUGAUCUGGAUAAUACCAGCGAAAGGACAUGCUUCUAUCAUACU
rfam:Pseudogymnoascus pannorum VKM F-4518 (FW-2643) contig_99, whole genome shotgun sequence.